UUAGAACUUUUGUUUGUUAGCAUUUUGACAGGUCUAGGAUAUCGAUGUUUUUUUACAGAUUUUUUGUGAUUAUCUGUAUAUUUCGGGUCAAAUAUAUUGCCCAUUUGGGGCAAGCUGGUUCAUUUUAACCAGUAUGUCAUAGAUGAAACAUAUUUUGACAUGUAUGGGCCAAAUGACUAUGAAAGAAGUAGGUAAUAUGCAAUGUAAAAGACAAAUACCUUUGCAGAAAGGAAGAUGUUAACCCUGCUAACAUCUUCCUUUCUGCACAACAGUUUAUCAGGCCCUUUCCCAGCCGCAUAAGGCGCCGCGCUACCGCGGCGCUUAAAACACGAAAUACAGCUUCCCGCAGCGCUUAAUUAUCCCGCGCGGUGCCUCAAUUAUUAGCGCAGCGUUAUAAAUCAGUAAGCGAUUUCAUCCCUGUGAGAUACCUCAGGUAAAUAUUGAUCGGGGAAGUUUAUGAAUACACAGUGUAGCUAGCUGUUUACCGUGUACUGAUAAGGGUUUAAAGACGAUACGUGUUGAUGAAAGUCUGUGUUUUCACAAGUUUGCGGUUAAUUGGAGCAGGAGUGAUUGGAUUAUAAUUAGUUAAAGAUUAUAAUUAGUCUCUGCAACGAAAUGGGAUAACAGUUGGUGACGGAGUGCAUGGGCUCUUUCAUCACUCUUCUCCCUUGAAGAAGACUGGGCAGUUAUUGAAUGGGCACAGGCGAAAGCCACCCUUACCACAGAUGAACACUUUGCGCACCAUGGAGUGGAUUGUUGGUAAUCUGUCCGAGUCUCACCCAAACCUGAGCAAAGUCGCUACAGUGGGACUGCUUCUACCAACCUCCACAGCUGAUUGUGAGAGAGGUUUCAGCAGUUGAAUGUGUAAAGACCACCCACCAUUCACCGGUGAGCAUGAAAGUGCUUAAUGCCUUACUCAUGGUGUCCAUGCAGGGACAAAAAUUGAAUGACUUUAAUUUCAGUGGUGCAGUAAAGGAAUGGCACAGAGCCAAAGACAGACACUUACCGGUAUAUGAAAACAAAAAUGCCUAUGUGUUGUUAGUGUUAGUACAAAAGAAGUGGAAGGACAUAUGUGUUGUUUGAAAAUACAUAUAAAAGAAGUGGACAUCUGUUUAGUGUAUAUGAAAUAUUGAUGGUUAUAUGA